AAAAUGUAGCUUACUAAAUAAAGCGCCUCGCUUACACGGAGUAGAAGUCUGUUUAACCCAGAUCAUUUUGAG
rnacentral:tRNA from 1 species